rnacentral:rRNA from 1 species
CAGCAGCCGCGGUAAUACGAAGGGGGCUAGCGUUGCUCGGAAUUACUGGGCGUAAAGGGCGCGUAGGCGGAUGUUUAAGUCAGAGGUGAAAGCCCAGGGCUCAACCUGGGAACUGCCUUUGAUACUGGACAUCUUGAGUGUGGGAGAGGUGAGUGGAACUCCGAGUGUAGAGGUGAAAUUCGUAGAUAUUCGGAAGAACACCAGUGGCGAAGGCGACUCACUGGCCCAUUACUGACGCUGAGGCGCGAAAGCGUGGGGAGCAAACAGGAUUAGAGACCCCCGUAGUCCCUGUCUCUUAUAC